rnacentral:rRNA from 1 species
AUCCUGUCUGAAUAUGGGGGGACCAUCCUCCAAGGCUAAAUACUCCUGACUGACCGAUAGUGAACCAGUACCGUGAGGGAAAGGCGAAAAGAACCCCGGCGAGGGGAGUGAAAAAGAACCUGAAACCGUGUACGUACAAGCAGUGGGAGCACGCUUAGGCGUGUGACUGCGUACCUUUUGUAUAAUGGGUCAGCGACUUAUAUUCUGUAGCAAGGUUAACCGAAUAGGGGAGCCGAAGGGAAACCGAGUCUUAACUGGGCGUUAAGUUGCAGGGUAUAGACCCGAAACCCGGUGAUCUAGCCAUGGGCAGGUUGAAGGUUGGGUAACACUAACUGGAGGACCGAACCGACUAAUGUUGAAAAAUUAGCGGAUGACUUGUGGCUGGGGGUGAAAGGCCAAUCAAACCGGGAGAUAGCUGGUUCUCCCCGAAAGCUAUUUAGGUAGCGCCUCGUGAAUUCAUCUCCGGGGGUAGAGCACUGUUUCGGCAAGGGGGUCAUCCCGACUUACCAACCCGAUGCAAACUGCGAAUACCGGAGAAUGUUAUCACGGGAGACACACGGCGGGUGCUAACGUCCGUCGUGAAGAGGGAAACAACCCAGACCGCCAGCUAAGGUCCCAAAGUCAUGGUUAAGUGGGAAACGAUGUGGGAAGGCCCAGACAGCCAGGAUGUUGGCUUAGAAGCAGCCAUCAUUUAAAGAAAGCGUAAUAGCUCACUGGUCGAGUCGGCCUGCGCGGAAGAUGUAACGGGGCUAAACCAUGCACCGAAGCUGCGGCAGCGACGCUUAUGCGUUGUUGGGUAGGGGAGCGUUCUGUAAGCCUGCGAAGGUGUGCUGUGAGGCAUGCUGGAGGUAUCAGAAGUGCGAAUGCUGACAUAAGUAACGAUAAAGCGGGUGAAAAGCCCGCUCGCCGGAAGACCAAGGGUUCCUGUCCAACGUUAAUCGGGGCAGGGUGAGUCGACCCCUAAGGCGAGGCCGAAAGGCGUAGUCGAUGGGAAACAGGUUAAUAUUCCUGUACUUGGUGUUACUGCGAAGGGGGGACGGAGAAGGCUAUGUUGGCCGGGCGACGGUUGUCCCGGUUUAAGCGUGUAGGCUGGUUUUCCAGGCAAAUCCGGAAAAUCAAGGCUGAGGCGUGAUGACGAGGCACUACGGUGCUGAAGCAACAAAUGCCCUGCUUCCAGGAAAAGCCUCUAAGCAUCAGGUAACAUCAAAUCGUACCCCAAACCGACACAGGUGGUCAGGUAGAGAAUACCAAGGCGCUUGAGAGAACUCGGGUGAAGGAACUAGGCAAAAUGGUGCCGUAACUUCGGGAGAAGGCACGCUGAUAUGUAGGUGAAGUCCCUUGCGGAUGGAGCUGAAAUCAGUCGAAGAUACCAGCUGGCUGCAACUGUUUAUUAAAAACACAGCACUGUGCAAACACGAAAGUGGACGUAUACGGUGUGACGCCUGCCCGGUGCCGGAAGGUUAAUUGAUGGGGUCAGCGCAAGCGAAGCUCUUGAUCGAAGCCCCGGUAAACGGCGGCCGUAACUAUAACGGUCCUAAGGUAGCGAAAUUCCUUGUCGGGUAAGUUCCGACCUGCACGAAUGGCGUAAUGAUGGCCAGGCUGUCUCCACCCGAGACUCAGUGAAAUUGAACUCGCUGUGAAGAUGCAGUGUACCCGCGGCAAGACGGAAAGACCCCGUGAACCUUUACUAUAGCUUGACACUGAACAUUGAGCCUUGAUGUGUAGGAUAGGUGGGAGGCUUUGAAGUGUGGACGCCAGUCUGCAUGGAGCCGGCCUUGAAAUACCACCCUUUAAUGUUUGAUGUUCUAACGUGGACCCGUGAUCCGGGUUGCGGACAGUGUCUGGUGGGUAGUUUGACUGGGGCGGUCUCCUCCUAAAGAGUAACGGAGGAGCACGAAGGUUGGCUAAUCCUGGUCGGACAUCAGGAGGUUAGUGCAAUGGCAUAAGCCAGCUUGACUGCGAGCGUGACGGCGCGAGCAGGUGCGAAAGCAGGUCAUAGUGAUCCGGUGGUUCUGAAUGGAAGGGCCAUCGCUCAACGGAUAAAAGGUACUCCGGGGAUAACAGGCUGAUACCGCCCAAGAGUUCAUAUCGACGGCGGUGUUUGGCACCUCGAUGUCGGCUCAUCACAUCCUGGGGCUGAAGUAGGUCCCAAGGGUAUGGCUGUUCGCCAUUUAAAGUGGUACGCGAGCUGGGUUUAGAACGUCGUGAGACAGUUC